CUGAAAGUCGUAACAUUGUCGCAUUCAUCACUUGUUUCGGUUCUGCUUUCACACUGUGAUUUCUAAAGCGCACCGAACUUUCCGAGCAGCAUCACGUGGUUGAAAGGGGCGCUCGUCGAUUGGACAAAGUAGGAGGGGUAUGUAACCUCACGGAUUACAAACAGGGGUGGACUAGCCGUCUUGUAUCGUGCUUCGUCACAUUAUUUUAUGGAAUGCUACAACGUUAGUGAACGCAACUGUUCCUAUAAUGCUAUCGUAGCUUGUCAGGGAUUGAUCCUGUUAUUUUUCUAACUUUGACGAUCUAACAUGUGACAACAUAUGAGCUCAGAGUUUAAGGACUGUGACUGUUGGUAGUUGUGAUUUGAUUUUGUUUAAAUAUGCCAAAUUGUGAAUUUAUGGGUUAUUGUUGUUCAGACAAUUGAGCUAAGCUAGCUAGCAACUGCUAAUGUCAGCGGUCACUUGUUGCCAUAGCAACA